rnacentral:rRNA from 1 species
AUUGAACGCUGGCGGGAUGCUUUACACAUGCAAGUCGAACGGCAGCACGGACUUCGGUCUGGUGGCGAGUGGCGAACGGGUGAGUAAUAUAUCGGAACGUGCCCAGUCGUGGGGGAUAACGUAGCGAAAGCUACGCUAAUACCGCAUACGAUCUACGGAUGAAAGCGGGGGAUCGCAAGACCUCGCGCGAUUGGAGCGGCCGAUAUCAGAUUAGGUAGUUGGUGAGGUAAAGGCUCACCAAGCCGACGAUCUGUAGCUGGUCUGAGAGGACGACGAGCCACACUGGGACUGGGACACGGCCCAGACUCCUACGGGAGGCAGCAGUGGGGAAUUUUGGACAAUGGACGCAAGUCUGAUCCAGCCAUUCCGCGUGCAGGACGAAGGCCUUCGGGUUGUAAACUGCUUUUGUACAGAACGAAAAGGUCUCUAUUAAUACUAGGGGCUCAUGACGGUACUGUAAGAAUAAGCACCGGCUAACUACGUGCCAGCCGCCGCCGUAA